rnacentral:rRNA from 1 species
UCGAACGAGAAGUACGUAGCAAUACGUAUUGUAAAGUGGCGCACGGGUGAGUAACACGUGGGUAAUCUGCCCUUGAGUUUGGGAUAACCCCGCGAAAGCGGGGCUAAUACCGAAUAAGACCACGGGGACCAAAGUCCCUGAGGUAAAAGACGGCCUCUAUUUAUAAGCUGUCACUUGAGGAUGAGCCCGCGGCCCAUUAGCUAGUUGGUAGGGUAACGGCCUACCAAGGCGAUGAUGGGUAGCUGGUCUGAGAGGACGAUCAGCCACACUGGAACUGAGACACGGUCCAGACUCCUACGGGAGGCAGCAGUGGGGAAUAUUGCGCAAUGGGCGAAAGCCUGACGCAGCAACGCCGCGUGGGGGAUGAAGGUUCUCGGAUUGUAAACCCCUUUCGAUCGGAACGAAUCCCCUCUUGGUAAAUAAUCAGGAGGAUCGACGGUACCGGGAGAAGAAGCCACGGCUAACUCUGUGCCAGCAGCCGCGGUAAGACAGAGGUGGCGAGCGUUGUUCGGAUUUAUUGGGCGUAAAGCGAACGCAGGUGGUUUGGUAAGUCAGGGGUGAAAGACCACAGCUUAACUGUGGCACUGCCUUUGAUACUGCCUUUCUAGAGUGCAUGCGGGGGAAGCGGAAUUCCGAGUGUAGAGGUGAAAUUCGUAGAUAUUCGGAGGAACACCGGUGGCGAAGGCGGCUUCCUGGCAUGUAACUGACACUCAUGUUCGAAAGCGUGGGUAGCAAACAGGAUUAGAUACCCUGGU